rnacentral:rRNA from 1 species
CAGCCGCCGCGGUAAUACGUAUGUCGCAAGCGUUAUCCGGAAUUAUUGGGCAUAAAGGGCAUCUAGGCGGCCAAGCAAGUCUGGGGUGAAAACCUGCGGCUCAACCGCAGGCCUGCCCUGGAAACUGCGUGGCUAGAGUGCUGGAGAGGUGGACGGAACUGCACGAGUAGAGGUGAAAUUCGUAGAUAUGUGCAGGAAUGCCGAUGAUGAAGAUAGUUCACUGGACGGCAACUGACGCUGAAGUGCGAAAGCCGGGGGAGCGAACAGGAUUAGAUACCCCAGUAGUCCCUGUCUCUUAUAC